rnacentral:tRNA from 1 species
UGCGAUGUAGUUUAUGUAAAAUUUCUACUUUACACGUAGAAGAAUCCGUAUUGAGGACUUUGCUA